GGUUAAGCGACUAAGCGUACACGGUGGAUGCCCUGGCAGUCAGAGGCGAUGAAGGACGUGCUAAUCUGCGAUAAGCGUCGGUAAGGUGAUAUGAACCGUUAUAACCGGCGAUUUCCGAAUGGGGAAACCCAGUGUGUUUCGACACACUAUCAUUAACUGAAUCCAUAGGUUAAUGAGGCGAACCGGGGGAACUGAAACAUCUAAGUACCCCGAGGAAAAGAAAUCAACCGAGAUUCCCCCAGUAGCGGCGAGCGAACGGGGAGCAGCCCAGAGCCUGAAUCAGUGUGUGUGUUAGUGGAAGCGUCUGGAAAGGCGUGCGAUACAGGGUGACAGCCCCGUACACAAAAAUGCACAUGCUGUGAGCUCGAUGAGUAGGGCGGGACACGUGGUAUCCUGUCUGAAUAUGGGGGGACCAUCCUCCAAGGCUAAAUACUCCUGACUGACCGAUAGUGAACCAGUACCGUGAGGGAAAGGCGAAAAGAACCCCGGCGAGGGGAGUGAAAAAGAACCUGAAACCGUGUACGUACAAGCAGUGGGAGCACGCUUAGGCGUGUGACUGCGUACCUUUUGUAUAAUGGGUCAGCGACUUAUAUUCUGUAGCAAGGUUAACCGAAUAGGGGAGCCGAAGGGAAACCGAGUCUUAACUGGGCGUUAAGUUGCAGGGUAUAGACCCGAAACCCGGUGAUCUAGCCAUGGGCAGGUUGAAGGUUGGGUAACACUAACUGGAGGACCGAACCGACUAAUGUUGAAAAAUUAGCGGAUGACUUGUGGCUGGGGGUGAAAGGCCAAUCAAACCGGGAGAUAGCUGGUUCUCCCCGAAAGCUAUUUAGGUAGCGCCUCGUGAAUUCAUCUCCGGGGGUAGAGCACUGUUUCGGCAAGGGGGUCAUCCCGACUUACCAACCCGAUGCAAACUGCGAAUACCGGAGAAUGUUAUCACGGGAGACACACGGCGGGUGCUAACGUCCGUCGUGAAGAGGGAAACAACCCAGACCGCCAGCUAAGGUCCCAAAGUCAUGGUUAAGUGGGAAACGAUGUGGGAAGGCCCAGACAGCCAGGAUGUUGGCUUAGAAGCAGCCAUCAUUUAAAGAAAGCGUAAUAGCUCACUGGUCGAGUCGGCCUGCGCGGAAGAUGUAACGGGGCUAAACCAUGCACCGAAGCUGCGGCAGCGACGCUGAUGCGUUGUUGGGUAGGGGAGCGUUCUGUAAGCCUGCGAAGGUGUGCUGUGAGGCAUGCUGGAGGUAUCAGAAGUGCGAAUGCUGACAUAAGUAACGAUAAAGCGGGUGAAAAGCCCGCUCGCCGGAAGACCAAGGGUUCCUGUCCAACGUUAAUCGGGGCAGGGUGAGUCGACCCCUAAGGCGAGGCCGAAAGGCGUAGUCGAUGGGAAACAGGUUAAUAUUCCUGUACUUGGUGUUACUGCGAAGGGGGGACGGAGAAGGCUAUGUUGGCCGGGCGACGGUUGUCCCGGUUUAAGCGUGUAGGCUGGUUUUCCAGGCAAAUCCGGAAAAUCAAGGCUGAGGCGUGAUGACGAGGCACUACGGUGCUGAAGCAACAAAUGCCCUGCUUCCAGGAAAAGCCUCUAAGCAUCAGGUAACAUCAAAUCGUACCCCAAACCGACACAGGUGGUCAGGUAGAGAAUACCAAGGCGCUUGAGAGAACUCGGGUGAAGGAACUAGGCAAAAUGGUGCCGUAACUUCGGGAGAAGGCACGCUGAUAUGUAGGUGAAGUCCCUUGCGGAUGGAGCUGAAAUCAGUCGAAGAUACCAGCUGGCUGCAACUGUUUAUUAAAAACACAGCACUGUGCAAACACGAAAGUGGACGUAUACGGUGUGACGCCUGCCCGGUGCCGGAAGGUUAAUUGAUGGGGUCAGCGCAAGCGAAGCUCUUGAUCGAAGCCCCGGUAAACGGCGGCCGUAACUAUAACGGUCCUAAGGUAGCGAAAUUCCUUGUCGGGUAAGUUCCGACCUGCACGAAUGGCGUAAUGAUGGCCAGGCUGUCUCCACCCGAGACUCAGUGAAAUUGAACUCGCUGUGAAGAUGCAGUGUACCCGCGGCAAGACGGAAAGACCCCGUGAACCUUUACUAUAGCUUGACACUGAACAUUGAGCCUUGAUGUGUAGGAUAGGUGGGAGGCUUGGAAGUGUGGACGCCAGUCUGCAUGGAGCCGACCUUGAAAUACCACCCUUUAAUGUUUGAUGUUCUAACGUUGACCCGUAAUCCGGGUUGCGGACAGUGUCUGGUGGGUAGUUUGACUGGGGCGGUCUCCUCCUAAAGAGUAACGGAGGAGCACGAAGGUUGGCUAAUCCUGGUCGGACAUCAGGAGGUUAGUGCAAUGGCAUAAGCCAGCUUGACUGCGAGCGUGACGGCGCGAGCAGGUGCGAAAGCAGGUCAUAGUGAUCCGGUGGUUCUGAAUGGAAGGGCCAUCGCUCAACGGAUAAAAGGUACUCCGGGGAUAACAGGCUGAUACCGCCCAAGAGUUCAUAUCGACGGCGGUGUUUGGCACCUCGAUGUCGGCUCAUCACAUCCUGGGGCUGAAGUAGGUCCCAAGGGUAUGGCUGUUCGCCAUUUAAAGUGGUACGCGAGCUGGGUUUAGAACGUCGUGAGACAGUUCGGUCCCUAUCUGCCGUGGGCGCUGGAGAACUGAGGGGGGCUGCUCCUAGUACGAGAGGACCGGAGUGGACGCAUCACUGGUGUUCGGGUUGUCAUGCCAAUGGCACUGCCCGGUAGCUAAAUGCGGAAGAGAUAAGUGCUGAAAGCAUCUAAGCACGAAACUUGCCCCGAGAUGAGUUCUCCCUGACCCUUUAAGGGUCCUGAAGGAACGUUGAAGACGACGACGUUGAUAGGCCGGGUGUGUAAGCGCAGCGAUGCGUUGAGCUAACCGGUACUAAUGAACCGUGAGGCUUAACCUU
rnacentral:rRNA from 1 species